AGGUCCAGGUGUUGUGCUGGUCUGACUGGCUGUCUGAGGUCCAGGUCUUGUUCUGGUCUGACUGGCUGUCUGAGGUCCAGGUCUUGUUCUGGUCUGACUGGCUGUCUGCAGUCGAGGUAUUUUUCUGGAUCUGGACAUCGGCUCCUCCACA